rnacentral:rRNA from 1 species
UACAGAGGGGGCAAGCGUUGUUCGGAAUUACUGGGCGUAAAGGGCGCGUAGGCGGCCCGCUAAGUCGAACGUGAAAUCCCCAGGCUCAACCUGGGAACGGCAUCCGAGACGGCCAGGCUGGAGACCGGGAGAGGAGAGUGGAAUAGCCAGUGUAGAGGUGAAAUUCGUAGAUAUUGGCUGGAACACCGGUGGCGAAAGCGGCUCUCUGGCCCGGUUCUGACGCUGAGGCGCGAAAGCGUGGGGAGCAAACAGG